UACGAGGGGGGCUAGCGUUGCUCGGAAUCACUGGGCGUAAAGGGUGCGUAGGCGGGUCUUUAAGUCAGGGGUGAAAUCCUGGAGCUCAACUCCAGAACUGCCUUUGAUACUGGCGAUCUCGAGUCCGGGAGAGGUGAGUGGAACUGCGAGUGUAGAGGUGAAAUUCGUAGAUAUUCGCAAGAACACCAGUGGCGAAGGCGGCUCACUGGCCCGGUACUGACGCUGAGGUGCGAAAGCGUGGGGAGCAAACAGG
rnacentral:rRNA from 1 species